CGCGGGCGACGAGGGCGGCUCAGGCGAGCUGCGAAUCCAACAUGCGGCCCUACGGAGGGGGAUUCGCACCUGGACGGCACGCAGGACCGCCCCCAAGCCCCCAGCCUGCCCUCCGUCGCCCUCAGCGCGGGGUUUCGACGGACCCUGAGCUCUUCCUCCCCGUUGGUCCCGCUGCAGGCAGCACACCUUGGGAACAUGAGAUUUUUGCCCAAGUCAGUAGUGGGGACGUACACCACCAGCCCGAGCUCCCUCCAGAGCAGCAGCCGCCAGAGCUUACAGCUGUGAGAUGAUUUCUGACUUCUGAGGACAAAGGAUACUUGUCCCCUCUCUGCGUGAGCAGCAAGGCCAGCAGGUCCUGUCUCCAGCGUGAUCUGCUCUCCCUUCUGUCUUUCUGAGGGUACGCAGGACGCCCAGCAGCGUUUGUUUUCUCUGGGAUCCAAGCCUUGAGUUUGGGCCCUGCUGGCGAUCAGGUGGCCUUGGCUCCUCAGUCUCUGCCUGAUUGGGCUUUCCUGUUUUCGUCAUCCUCCGUUGACUUUGCGCAGGGGAGAAAAAUACUCACGAAGGAAGCUUCCCAGAGGGUGAGCAGGUGCACAGUUCAGCCAAGUAGGUGACUCGCUGGGCUGUGCGUCUUUGUGUUUGUUCGGGGCGGGAAGGGUGUGACAGCGGCUCCCCGCCAAAUAACUUUACCACCUGAGAGACCAGGCGGCUCCCGGAGCAUGUGGGAAGCCACUAGCCCUGCAUGGGGCUUCCGGUGCGCUGUGACCAUGGCCCACCACGUGUUCCGGGUCCCCCGUGACCUCUGAGUGGAUACACAGACACUCCUACACGCGCAUUUCUGUGUGUGGAAGUGUGUCGGUGCACGUACUGAGGUUUUUGUGAGCAGAACAAGGGAAAGAAGAAGAGGGUGUAGAUAAACGGCAACACGUUGAUGGUUUCUGAACACGGAUGACCGCUGCUUGGGGUUUCAUUAUACUCCUUUCUGCUUUGUGUGUGCUUAAAAAUUCCAAAAUAAAAAAGUUUAAAAAUA